AUCGUGUUAAUGGCUAAUUUAGUGAUCACAAUCGAUGAGUUAUUUCUAUAGAGUAUCACCUGGGUACCUUUAUACUCAGCUACCUACCCGGAAAAGAUUAGAAUUAUUUCAAAAUCACGAAGGAAUGUGUAUUUAAACGCCUAAUUUAAUGAUCAUUGAUCACAAUCGGUUAGUUAUUUCGCGUACCAAUAUAUAAAAUUGGAAAAUUUGAUGAUAGCUUAACAUUUAAGGUUUCAUCUCCCUUCUGAGUAUACCUAGUUAUCGCGUCGUGAUUAAUCGAACAAUUGACCAGUAAAAAAUAAAUUUGAGCGAGAAAAUUGGAAACCCCACCUGAGAAGUUGAAUAUUCGACCUUGCUGCCAAAUCGUCAAAUUACUCGAACGUUCUAUUCCAAUUCUAAACUCAGAGAUCUUAAACUAAACAUGAACUUUAAAUUGUUGAUACUCGCCAUCGGAGUCGUCCUACUGUUUGAUUUUUCUCAUGCAACCAAGGAGAAAUGUGAGAAAAUGCCUGAUAAGUUUUUUACCAGGAAAAUCGAUUGUAUGAGAGCUUGCGUUGAUUAUUGCGAUCUUCUAGGAAUGCGUCAACAUUAUUGCCCUCGCACUGAAUUUAGAGGUUAUAAAUGUACUUGCAAUGAUGCAAAUAUGCACGAAUGAUUUUACUGAAUGUAACCACUUAACUCGUUCAAGUGUUCAAAUUGAUAUGUAGAUUGUAGGUACAUACUAAUAGUUUUUUUUUUAGCAGAGUCAAUAUUUUGACAAAUAUAUUACAAUUUUUUCGUUCAA